GACGAACGCUGGCGGCGUGCCUAAUACAUGCAAGUCGAACGAGAGCGCCCGGUGCUUGCGCUGGUCAAUCUAGUGGCGAACGGGUGAGUAACACGUGGGUAACCUGCCCAUCAGAGGGGGAUAACAUCCGGAAACGGCUGCUAAAACCGCAUAGGUCUUCGAGCCGCAUGGCUCGAAGAGGAAAAGAGGCGCAAGCUUCUGCUGAUGGAUGGACCCGCGGUGCAUUAGCUAGUUGGUGAGGUAACGGCUCACCAAGGCCAUGAUGCAUAGCCGACCUGAGAGGGUGAUCGGCCACAUUGGAACUGAGACACGGCCCAAACUCCUACGGGAGGCAGCAGUAGGGAAUCUUCCGCAAUGGACGCAAGUCUGACGGAGCAACGCCGCGUGAGUGAAGAAGGUUUUCGGAUCGUAAAGCUCUGUUGUUAGAGAAGAACAAGUGCUAGAGUAACUGUUAGCGCCUUGACGGUAUCUAACCAGAAAGCCACGGCUAACUACGUG
rnacentral:rRNA from 1 species